rnacentral:rRNA from 1 species
UGUGAAACGACCUCAAGUCGGUCGAGGCUAACCGCUAAAUUUAAGCAU